rnacentral:lncRNA from 1 species
UAGAAAUCUGCAACCAAUAUAUAUAUAUAUAUAUAUAUAUAUAUAUAUAUAUAUAUAUAGAGAGAGAGAGAGAGAGAGAGAGAACCAGAGAGUUUGUUUAUAGGCAGGCAGGCCAGCAAUAAUCGACAGCAAGAUGCUAUGUACACAUUUUCUCAUCUGUACAUACAUCUUUAUUAUAUAUCAGGGUGCAACUUAACAAAUUAUCACCAUCACAUGUCUUCAAUUGUGAGAAUUGUGGUUGUGAUUCUCAUACUUGAUACUCCUACCCUAUUAAUUAAACAUGAACAAACCAAUAAAAUCAAGCUACAUACACAUUUACAUCCAUCAUAUAUAUUACAUACAUAGCACAGCACCAAAAAAGGAAGGUUCGAAUUUGAAACACAAAGGAUGGCAACAAGAAGGUUCGGAUGUCAUGUUCAU